CCUUCACAGCAUCUGCCCACUGCAAAGCCUCAAGAUCCUGUGAGGCCCAUUGGGUAGCUUUGGCCACAUAUCUCCCAGGGAUGUACAGAAGAGGAAGAAGGUUCGGGGAAUGGAUUGUGAUUGCGGCUGGGCUGACGAGGUGGUGACCUCGGGACUACGAAACAAAGCUGACCGGUGGCUUCCAAACAAACAGCAAAUGGGAGAACCUCAGGGCACCACCUCCAUCUAUCAUAAUGCAUAAAACUAAUGAAUAAAAUGACAGUAACAGAAUACAUGCUCUUAUUACAGCAGAGAAAUUGUAACAUUACAGUGCAACAUCCCACCCUUUCCAGUGGGACAUUCUAAGACCAGUUAGCCCCAGGACAUGAUACACCAUCUGUAUAGAACCUUAGUUAUUGAGCUAUCACUGGAAUGGGAGCACAUGGAACCCAUUGGUGCCUGAAGUGUUGCCUUUUACCAGGACACACCAUCACACAGAAAAAUCUUGGAAAAGUCUUGUUGCAGGUGUCUUUUGUCACCAGUUUUAUCCAUUCCUCAGUGAGACCCGAAGCAAGGCGCCAGUGUAAUUAACAAGACGUUUUGCCAGCAGAAUCCUGUGUUGUUCCAUUUUUACAUCCUUUCUGAGUUUUACUUUCUUACCUAAAAAUUAAGACUGUCAAGACUAGUCUUCCUAGGUUUUUCAGGAAGACUUCUUGACAUUGGGAGAAACUCGGAGCAUGUGUAUUGUGAGCCUGGCAUCUUUACUGAAGGGAUGAGAAUCGGUGGAGUACAAGCUUUCCCCCAUCCAACUUCAGUGUUCCAUCUCCUUCCUGGAAGACCUCCUCUGUGGGGAAGAGGAAAUUCAGUCCUGAUGGCUCAUUCAGUCCCUGGCUUCUCUGCAGAGAUUGCUGCCAACAGUUGGUCCAGAGGUGGUAGGUUUUAUGAGGUGGCAUGUGUACUUUAACACACAGUCUGUACCUAAUCUUCGUCAAUGGAUGCUGUUGCACCACCUUCAACAUCUAAUGUAGCCAAAUCUUCUUGACAAGAUGCUGCAACAGGCUGAGCAGUGUCUACACCAACACCUACAUCAUUGUGAACAGCUGUGCUCUUUUACUCUUUGCUGAUCAUUGUACAAAAUAAGCUCUACAGCCAAAACUAUAGAGACCACCAAACAAAUAGCAGGUGAAAGUGAAUUUUGCUAAUUAUCCUCAGUUCAUUUCAAACCAGUGACGAAGGCCAAAUCUACAGUAGAAAAUUUUUGCCAGUAUAGCCAUACCGACUAACCUUCCUAAUGUAUCAAAGGGGUAGCCAUGUUAGUCUGGAUCUGUAAAAGCAGCAAAGAGUCCUGUGGCACCUUA